UACGUAGGGUGCGAGCGUUAAUCGGAAUUACUGGGCGUAAAGGGCGCGCAGGCGGCUGCUCAAGUCAGGCGUGAAAGCCCUUGGCUCAACCUGGGAAUUGCAUUCGAUACUGGAUAGCUAGAGUUCGGCAGAGGGAAGCGGAAUUUCUGGUGUAGCGGUGAAAUGCGUAGAUAUCAGAAGGAACAUCAGUGGCGAAAGCGGCUUCCUGGACCAGAACUGACGAUCAGGCUCGAAAGCGUGGGGAGCAAACAGG
rnacentral:rRNA from 1 species